rfam:Lysinibacillus sp. BF-4 contig00005, whole genome shotgun sequence.
AUUCUAUCAAGAGCUGGUGGAGGGACAAGCCCUACGAAACCCGGCAACCGAUCUAUUUUUAUAGACACGGUGCUAAUUCUUGCAGCCUAUGUGCUGGGAGAUAGAAC